GCCUAGGGACGCAGCAGUAGGGAAUCUUCCACAAUGGACGAAAGUCUGAUGGAGCAACGCCGCGUGAGUGAAGAAGGGUUUCGGCUCGUAAAGCUCUGUUGGUAGUGAAGAAAGAUAGAGGUAGUAACUGGCCUUUAUUUGACGGUAAUUACUUAGAAAGUCACGGCUAAAUACGUGCCAGCAGCCGCGGUAAUACGUAGGGGGCAAGCGUUGUCCGGAUUUAUUGGGCGUAAAGCGAGUGCAGGCG
rnacentral:rRNA from 1 species